UACGGAGGGUGCGAGCGUUGUCCGGAAUCACUGGGCGUAAAGGGCGCGUAGGCGGCCUGAUAAGUAGGGGGUGAAAUCUUGCGGCUUAACCGCAAGGCUGCCUUCUAAACUGUCGGGCUCGAGCACAGUAGAGGCAGGUGGAAUUCCCGGUGUAGCGGUGGAAUGCGUAGAGAUCGGGAAGAACAUCAGUGGCGAAGGCGGCCUGCUGGGCUGUUGCUGACGCUGAGGCGCGACAGCGUGGGGAGCAAACAGG
rnacentral:rRNA from 1 species